AAGUAGCACGGACAGCAAUACUACUAAGAGAUCAGAUCAGAAGAAAAACAAAAAAAAAUGAGUUGUGUCCUUAGGAAUCAAGGAAGCUGCGUUGCGAUCCGCGCUUUCUCCCCUUCCUCUUCCCUUAACCGUUGCUCUCACGGCUCUGCUUCUUCAGAUGGUGCAGCAUGUGGAAGGCCAGCUUGGAUUGGUAAGGGCCUUACUUGUGUUUGUUUCAAGCGCAAGGGAGCAUAUGAAGGGAUCUGCGUUAACUUGACACCCAAACAGGCA